rnacentral:ncRNA from 10 species
UUCUUAUCAAGAGAAGCAGAGGGACUGGCCCGACGAAGCUUCAGCAACCGGUGUAAUGGCGAUCAGCCAUGACCAAGGUGCUAAAUCCAGCAAGCUCGAACAGCUUGGAAGAUAAGAA